rnacentral:rRNA from 1 species
CGGUACAAAGAGCUGCGAUGCCGUGAGGCGGAGCGAAUCUCAAAAAGCCGGUCUCAGUUCGGAUUGGGGUCUGCAACUCGACCCCAUGAAGUCGGAGUUGCUAGUAAUCGCAGAUCAGCAUUGCUGCGGUGAAUACGUUCCCGGGCCUUGUACACACCGCCCGUCACGUCACGAAAGUCGGUAACACCCGAAGCCGGUGGCCCAACCCCUUGUGGGAGGGAGCUGUCGAAGGUGGGACUGGCGAUUGGGACGAAGUCGUAACAAGGUAGCCGUACCGGAAGGUGCGGCUGGAUCACCUCCUUUCU